rnacentral:rRNA from 1 species
CCUACGGGGGGCAGCAGUGAGGAAUAUUGGUCAAUGGCCGGAAGGCUGAACCAGCCAUGCCGCGUGAAGGGCAGGGACCUAGGGGCGUUAAACUUCUUUUGUGCGGGAGCAAAAAUGGGCACGUGUGGCCAGACGAGAGUACCGGACGAAGAAGCAGCGGCUAACUCCGGGCCAGCAGCCGCGGUAAUACGGGGGAUGCAAGCGUUAUCCGGAGUUACUGGGUGUAAAGGGAGCGCAGGCGGCACGGCAAGCCUGAUGUGAAAGCCCGCGGCCCAACCGCGGGACUGCAUUGGGCACUACCGGGCUGGAGUGCCGUAGAGGUAGGCGGACUUCCUGGUGUAGCGGUGAUAUGCGUAGAUAUUAGG